UACGUAGGGGGCAAGCGUUGUCCGGAAUUAUUGGGCGUAAAGCGCGCGCAGGCGGUCCUUUAAGUCUGAUGUGAAAGCCCACGGCUCAACCGUGGAGGGUCAUUGGAAACUGGGGGACUUGAGUGCAGAAGAGGAGAGUGGAAUUCCACGUGUAGCGGUGAAAUGCGUAGAGAUGUGGAGGAACACCAGUGGCGAAGGCGACUCUCUGGUCUGUAACUGACGCUGAGGCGCGAAAGCGUGGGGAGCGAACAGG
rnacentral:rRNA from 1 species